rnacentral:rRNA from 1 species
UGGGGAAUCUUCCGCAAUGGGGCGCAAGCCUGACGGAGCAACGCCGCGUGAGUGAAGAAGGGUUUCGACUCGUAAAGCUCUGUUGUCGGGGACGAACGUGGAGACUAUGAAUAAUGGUUUUCAAUGACGGUACCUGACUAAGAAGCACCGGCUAAAUACGUGCCAGCAGCCGCGGUAAUACGUAUGGUGCAAGCGUUAUCCGGAUUUACUGGGUGUAAAGGGAGCGCAGGCGGUGCGGCAAGUCUGAUGUGAAAGCCCGGGGCUCAACCCCGGUACUGCAUUGGAAACUGUCGUACUAGAGUGUCGGAGGGGUAAGUGGAAUUCCUAGUGUAGCGGUGAAAUGCGUAGAUAUUAGGAGGAACACCAGCGGCGAAGGCGGCUUACUGGACGAUAACUGACGCUGAGGCUCGAAAGCGUGGGGAGCAAGCAGGAUUAGAUACCCUGGUAGU